CCCAGCCUCACUCCUUCCCCACCUCCUACUUCUUCCCCCACAGACUUACCUGCUGAGGGGGACAUGUAUGCUCAUGCGUGCACACACACUUGGCUUUCCCCCCUGCCACCAAAAAAAUUUUCUCCCUCCUGACACAGUAGCCGCCAUUUGCCACUCAGUCUUGAGACAGCUGAAAUACUGCAGUUAUAUUCUAGGCUAUCACUCUGUGUCAGCUGUGACCAAGAAAUGAUUUUUACAACAGCCAGAAAAAAAACCUGCCAUACAAAUAAGUGACACAGAAUUUGACCCUUGCUCUUAAGGUCUUGUUGUCAAAUUUCAUGUGUACAAAAAGGGGCCACAAUAAUAUGAUCAUACAGGUAGCAGUUUUAGGUGCGACAGUAAAAGCCCCUGGUAGCCACAUAGUUCCUGCUUUGCUCUGGUUCCCUCUUCUCCCCUCCUGCUGCCUGAGCCACUCUGCCCAAUUACCUUAAUGCUGAGUCAUUUAUUCUGCAUUGGGUGCCUGCAGCCUAUCAGUCCCUUAUGGACCAGCCUUUCCUGGGUCCUGGUAAACAACUCUCUGCAACCGGGGCUCCCUGCAGCUGUUCACCACCCUUAAAAUAAAAGGGAGCCCUUGGCUCCCUGUUAAAAUAUGCCUUACACAAAGUGUUUGUGCAGUAUAGCUGAAGAUAUUCUAUCUUUGAUAUAUAUGAUCCUAAAAAGGAAAAGACUGGUAGCUUAAGAAGAUUUUUCUAGCAAAUCAGUUCAGAAACAAGGCAAUUAUUGUAUUUCUCAGUAUAAAAUUCACAGGAAAAAAGCUCCAUCUAAGACAGGAUUACACUCUUGGACAACCAAUAAGUCAGUGUGACAAACUAAGACUGCAUGCAUAUAUACUUUUAAUCCCCAUCCCCACCCUCUGCUGGCAUACAUAUUGUUCUACCAGCAUUAGUUACAUGGCCACCCUGUGUGCGCCUGGCUGUAUGCAUAGCAGGGCUGGCAAAACCUCAGCAUUGUUAAGUUGCAGUUAUACCAGGGGUGGGCAUCCUAUAUGCCGGCCCAAGCCUGGAGGCUUGGGAUUUGGAUGCCCCCAAGUUUCACUCGCUCUCAGCCGUAAGGCCCCAGGGACAAGCUAGGGAGGAGUCUCCCAUUUCCAUAAAAUGGGCAUUAAGCCAGGAUCUUCUCACAGGCAACGAACAUGGCAGAGUAACUAUACAUUACCUCCGCGGGUACAACCAUUUUUCUGGCAUGGGGUAAUCCCCAGGUGCAACUAGGAAAACCGCCUUGGAGGUGAUGGUAUUUCCCCUGCCAGGUAGGUCAAUCAUCAUACAAAAUGCACCAUACCUUUAGGAUCCCAACCUCCUUCACAAACCUUUUGAGGGAGACUGGUGUUGGGAUAGCAUGGCUACCCAAGGUGACUAAAUUAUACAAUCUAUGCCCUUCCAUUCAUGCACUGAUAACUCUACCUAACACUGAGCACAGAGAAAACAAGGGUUAGCAACUGACGCUCUGGGGAGAAUAUGGCAAGAAUCUCUCAUCUUUCACAUCAAAGUGCUGUAACAAAACAUGUCAGCACAACUAACAAGGCCAAGGGAAACUCCUGUAAUAGAUAAGGCUGGGAGAGAGGCAGUAUCAUAUUUCUGUCAACAGACAAAAGAAGAUGGGAGCAGACGGAAAUUGUAAAUAUAUCUUUCCCCAUUAAUAUCUCUAGCAGCUAUUCCCUUCCAGCCUUUGUAGAGGGUUGAAGGAGUUCACUUAACCAUUUGCUUAGGACACAGUUAGUCAUGGGUUGUUCAAAAGGGAAGAGUAUCCUAAGGUUCAAGUUACAUGCAGCUUUCAGACCUUGAUCCACUUUUUACUUCUCUGCCCUACUGUAAACAACAGAAAUGAAAUCUAGGUCUUUCCAAACAAACAUGGCAAGGGAACUACACAUCUGGUUUAUUUUCCAUUAUUGUUCCAGAGCAGUCUUAUACUUUUGGUCUGAGUGGUUUAUUUUAGACUGAGAAAAACAGUUACACUAAUCAUUUAGUGAGAGGGAAUUUAAGACCCAGAUCCUGUGAGAUCCUGAAAGCUUUCAUCGCUUGCAGAGGCCAGCUGGAGUUGAGGUGUUCAGAACCUUGCAGGGAAAUCCUCAGCCAUUUCCAAAAUUGGUUAGAUGUUUUUAGUACCCAUCUGCAGACUUACUGAUUUCAAUUUCUUUGCCAAGACUGACAGCAAACGUGGACCCGUAGGAAUGUAGAAUGAUCUCGGCGACUACAACAUACCGUUGCAGAAAACCUCCAAUAAAAUUCCAUCAUACACAGUGUGGUACAUAAAACCUAGACCCUAUAAUAGGAGAGGAUACCCACCAGAUUCAAGUUAACUCACAGCCCUCCAGCAUCCCAGGAUGGGCAGGCGAACCUUGGCCAAAAUUUUCUGAUGCAGCGGAGCAAGGAGGCUUCUGGCCUGGGCCAGUGCAGGCCAACACAGCUACCAAAUACAUCCCUGAAACAUAGAAGAUGCUGAAUUUUAUCAAUGAAGUUUAAAUCCAAAAACUGGCUGAACAAAAAGAAAGAGUUCUACUCCUCCCUGCCUUUCUGCCACCUGACACCAUGAAGGAAGGAAUCCUGCCUUAUCUACACAUCAAAGAGCAACUUGCAAAGACACUCUCAUGGCCCCAAAGGGACAGACUUCCAUCUUCAGCUUCCUUUGUGCAAAAAUGAAGUUUAUUUUCCACCUCUGGGGACUUUUUACCAUCUUUAAUUUUCCCUGAGCCUGGGGGAGAGUGUGUAUGCCUGAAAGCUUGCAGAAAAAGAUAAUUUUUUUGUGAUUUCUUAGUUGAUCUAAUAAAAAGUAUCAUCUUGGAACCAAGAGUUCUAGAGUUUUGCAAUUUCAAAAGUGUCACGAUGUUUGAUGAAAAGUAAAUAUUAGCCAUGAAAUAUAAUAUCAAUCAGGUCUUACCAGAAUAAAAUGUAACCACAUCAAAAUAAAUGUUAUAUUAAGCCAUAUAACUAUGUAAACAGCACAUUUUCCUGUUUACUUAUUGUAAGCAGGACAUAGUGCAAAGUUUAUUUAGAGUAAGCAAGAUUUAGUGUAAAAACUGUUUAUUUGCAAAUCAACAUUCCUUAAUGAUUUAACAAUGUUGAGAGACAACCAAUGAGAAGACUUAAUUUUUUCUUUAAAAAUAUAACUACAAAGUACAUAUGUGAAACCAGAUUAAAUUGAUGUCUUAAAGUUUCUUCUUUGGAGUAUUUAAAAUCAGUGAUUUAAGGAAACUUGAUUGAAAUCAAUCUACCCUGGAUGGCCUCCAUCACUAAAUGUAAAUAAUUCAAAAGGUCGUCAUUACAAACAGUGAUUGGGAAUAUGACU